CCCGAGGGACCGGGUUACGGUGGCGGGCUCCCCGCGCGUCUCACCAGGCGCUGGGGCGGCGGGGAGCCAAGGGAGAGCCCUCCGCCACCUCCGCCCAGCCCAGCCCUAGAGCCCGCCGCCCCGCCGCGAAGGAUGCUGGGGUCACCUGAGCCGCCGCGUCCUCAGCACGGCCGAGCGGGAGAUAGGACAGAAGUGCGAGUCUGUUGCGGUAAUCACAUUUCAAGUGCUCUACAUCGACGUGCAGCUCGUAGCUGCCAUACUGGACAGCAUAUAAAACAUCCCCUUCAUCACAGGAAGUUCUAUUGGACAGUGGUGGCUAGAGGCCAGGAUUUUGGUGAGGAGAACCAUGAUCCAAGGGGUGCUAUUCCCUAACAGAUGAGAGUAGGAAUGGCAGAAGAGAACAAUCUAAAAAAGGUUCAUCUGCCAUAAUGGCUUGGCUUCCGUCCCACAGUGGCUUUCACCGUCUCCAGCCGCAGAGCUUGGACCCCUGUCCUCACAGAAGGCUGUUCCAUCUGUGGCCCAUCUCUACUGGUCAUCAGUCAUUUUGAACAGUUCCAGCAGUGCCCCAACAGCUCCAAAAUAACCCUGCAACAACAAUGAGAAAACUUCUGUACGAUUAUCUCCGAACCUUAGUCCAAUACCUACUGUUUUUCAUAAUUCGAGGAAUGCUGCCCCCUAAUGCUACAGAUACAAGAAACUUAAAACCUGACCUCUGGCAUG